rnacentral:misc_RNA from 1 species
GAUGAAGAACGUAGUGAAAUGCGAUACUUGGUGUGAAUUGCAGAUUCCCGUGAACCAUCGAGUCUUUGAACGCAAGUUGCGCCCGAAGCCAUUAGGCCGAGGGCACGCCUGCCUGGGCGUCACACGUCGUUGCCCCCCCAUCUACUCCUUCGGGAUUGCGGGGGGCGGAUGAUGGCCUCCCGUGCGCCUUGUCGCGCGGUUGGCAUAAAUGCCAAGUCCUCGGCGACGCACGCCACGACGAUCGGUGGUUGCGAAACCUCGGUUGCCCGUCGUGUGCGGUCGUCGCGCAUCGAGGGCUCGAAAAAAUUGUCGGGCUCCGGCUCGGCUUUCAACGCGACCCCAGGUCAGGCGGGGUUACCCGCUGAAUUUAAGCAUAUCAAUAAGCGGAGGA